CUUGUAUAAUGCUGGACAGUUGCAGUAUGGGAAGACAUGGACCAGGCCCGGGAGAUGGAUCAGAUGGUCCUCCAGGCCCGGAGUGGGGACAGCCUCGGCAGUGCCCGGGCCGCCCAGCUGUGCUGGUGUCGGCUGAGGGCCGCGUCCUGCACUGGUUUUAAACAGUCCAGUUCCAUCUGAAGUCAAGCUGUCGUCAUCACUUCCAUUCCGUGUUCUCUUCCAUGACACCCAGUCGGUCAGAAGAAGCUUUUUGAUUUAGAGAUAUUUACAUCUUUGUAUUAAAGUUAUUUUGAAGGGGUU